UGUGUAUGUGCUCCAUGUGAGUGAUGUAGGUGCUUAUGUAGGUGGGUUCCAAUUUACAGCGAAAAUCAAGCUACAUGGCGCUGUAGGAACAGAUCUCCGACGUAACCCGAGGACCUACUGUACCUCAAUUUAAAAAAAAAGUAUCCUUCUUUAUGUUGUAUUAGUUUCUUACUGGUGCUGUGAAAAAAUUGCCACAAACUUAACUUGCUUAAAACAACAUAAACUUAUGAGCUUCACAGUCUAGAAGUCAGAAAUCCAAAAUCUAUCUCACUGGACUAAAGUCAAGGACCUGGAAUCUGAACACCUGGAUAAAUAUUGGUUUGGCAAGAUCCCAAGUUUAAUACUAUUGCGACAGAAGGGGACACUGACCUGGAGUUUAUUAUCAACAAGCUUACUUUUAAAACCUCCAAAGUUUUAUUAUUGUGAUCCCUCACUACUUUCCCCCUUUCUCUGCUUUCCUUUUGAAAUUGAAAAUAAAUGAAUGUGCCUUCUUUAUAAA